rnacentral:lncRNA from 1 species
CACCAUCUGGUAAACGAAGGAAAGAUGGGUGCACAACAUCCUGCUUCUUCCCUUAGGCGCCCGGCUGGGAGCCUACCUCCAGUGAAUCCCGCAUGCAGGGCACAUAGGCAACAGCUCCACCCUGGCGCCGCUCCCCUCUGUAAUCAGCCAUUAUGAUCCCAAUUCAGAUCUGGCAGGGGUUAGCAGCAUUCGGGCAGUUUUGUAGCGCCAGUGAACCUGAGUCCCUAAUGAGAGAUGUCAUUCCCUUUCCCCGAGGCUUGGAGGAAAUGCUUAGAUCUCCUCCUUUGCACCUAACCUAACCACACAGCUGCCCAGGGCCGUGAGGUUUGUCUCUGGAUUACUACUAUGGAGUAAGUUGAACAUGGGCAGGCGAGCUGAAUGAUCUCAUAGGCUUUGUGGAAAGCCCUGCAUCUGGAAAAGCAGCCUGUCAUAGAGGAAGGGGGUGCCAUACUAGCUUUCUAGAUGCAGGAUUCUUCUCUAUUCCCACUCCCCAACAUGGAAGAACUCCACCAUGUUCAUUCCUCUGCCCUGUGUUUUGGAUUGGGUCCAGGCCCGCAACAGCUAGAUGUAAAAAUGCUAGAUCUGUAACCACUCUGUAUGUGUGUGUGUGGUCGUCUUUGGCGAUCACUAGUGGCCAAGUAAGAUUGUCUUCCAUGAACACAGUCUUAACGGUGUCUCCGUAAGUGACUGUGGAGGCUCAGUUUUGGAUCCACACGUCCUUCCACAGUGGGGGGACGUAGGUUUCCUGGCGGGAGUUGGUCACGGUGAGGAUUUGCCAAACAUGUAAGAAUAAGCUUGCCCCAAACUCAGGCAUUAUUUGUUCAGUUUGCUUAGGAGCACCUUGCCUGCGGUGAGCACAGUGCCAAAGGUCUGUUGCGUGGAGGGCUGUUUCUGUUGCCUUUCUUUAUCGCCACUGCAGCGUUUUUCCGUCAGAUGCUGCCGGCUUUGGAAAACAUCCUUUUGGAACGCAAAUGGGAGCCAGAGUAUCUCCGCAUCCCCCCUCCGUUCUCAUCUCUGCAUGCAACCAGGGCUGUGAUGUCGGAACAAAAGCAAUUAACGUGCAUGGAAGGCGGAGCGGAGGGCAGCACUCUCUUUUUACGGGGCCCAAAGGAAUGCCUAAAGUUUACUAAAUAGCUUCAUCUGCAAGCAAUCAGAUUCCUUCUUUCCCAGCAGCCCCCUUGCUUUUAAGCAGACUGAUAGCACACACACACACCCGGCCUUUAAAGCAGAGCGCACAAAUUUGACCUCGGAAGGUGUGCUUUAAUUGACAGCAAUCAAAUUAUUAUUUUUUAAAAACAGUUUUGGGGUGGGGUGUGUGUCUAGUUUUAAAUGCAUUUUGGUCAUGGAUCAAUGCAAAAGAAAUAAGGGCUUGAGCUUUCAUAGGACAAUAUAUUCGUUGGUAGGCUUAAUAUGAGCCUGAUGGGUCACAGAAAAAAGGCCCUUGUAGUUCAGCAUCCUAGGGAUGCGGGUGGCCCUGUGGGUUAAACCACAGAGCCUAGGACUUGCCAAUCAGAAUGUUGGUAGUUUGAAUCCCCGCGACGGGGUGAGCUCCCAUUGUUCGGUCCCUGCUCCUGCCAACCUAGCAGUUCGAAAGCACGUCAGAGUGCAAGUAGAUAAAUAGGUACUACUUCGGCAGGAAGGUAAACGGCGUUUCCGUGCGCUGCUCUGGUUCACCAGAAGCGGCUUAGUCGUGCUGGCCACAUGACCCGGAAGCUGUACGCCGGCUCCCUUGGCCAAUAAAGCGAGAUGAACGCCACAACCCCAGAGUCGGCCAUGACUGGACCUAAUGGUCAGGAGUCUCUUUACCUUUACCUAGUUCAGCAUCCUAAUCUCACAGUGGCCAACCAGAUGCCACAAUAGGUCUGAAUGCAACAGCGCACGGUCUACCUGAAGUGCUCUGGCACCCUGCAGUUCUCAGAAACGGGCAUUCAGAGGCCUCUGACAGUGAAGGCAGAACAUACGGUACAUCAUUUUCGCUAAUAGCCGCUGAUAACCUUAAAUUGCCUAAUCCUCUUUUAAAGCCACCCAACUGGUGGUCACCACUGUCUCCUGAGGGAGUGAGUUCCACAGUUUAAUUAUGUUCUGUGUGAAGGACUUCCCUUUAUCUAUCUGUCCACGGAGGCGCAGGUCAAUUCUGUAUCCAGGGCAGCUGUCUACCAGCUCCAUCUGGUACGCAGGCUGAGACCCUACCUGCCCACAGACUGUCUUGCCAGAGUGGUGCAUGCUCUGGUCAUCUUCUGCUUGGACUACUGCAAUGCGCUCUACCUGGGGCUACGUUUGAAGGGGACCCGGAAACUACAACUAAUCCAGAAUGCGGCAGCUAGACUGGUGACUGGGAGCGGCCGCCAAGACCACAUAACACCGGUCUUGAAAGAUCUACAUUGGCUCCCAGUAUGUUUCCAAGCACAAUUCAAAGUGUUGGUGCUGACCUUGAAAGCCUUAAAUGGCCUCGGUCCUGUAUAUCUGAAGGAGUGUCUCCAUCCCCAUCAUUCUACCCAGACACUGAGGUCCAGUGCCGAGGGCCUUCUGGUGGUUCCCUCACUGUGAGAAGCAAAGCUACAGGGAACCAGGCAGAGGUAGUGGCACCCGCCCUGUGGAACGCCCUCCCAUCGGAUGUCAAAGAGAUAAACAACUAUCUGACUUUUAGAAGACAUCUAAAGGCAGCCCUGUUUCAGGAAGUUUUUAAUGUGUGACAUUUUGAUGUAUUUUUAAUCUUUGUUGGAAGCUGCCCAGAGUGGCUGGGGCAACCCAGCCAGAUGGGCAGGGUACAAAUAAAUU